rnacentral:snoRNA from 1 species
GGUAAAGAUGACGGUGCUUUUUAUUUCUGACACCUCUUGUUUGACAAGAGCGUUCAAAACGUUCUUCCAUGAGCACAUUAAGCAAACCUCUGAGCC